rnacentral:ncRNA from 1 species
AGUACAGGACGACCUGCACUCAAGCGAAUUAUUCGGGGACGACCCCA